UACGUAGGUGGCGAGCGUUGUUCGGAUUCACUGGGCGUAAAGGGUGCGUAGGUGGCCUGAAAAGUUUGAUGUGAAAGCUCAGGGCUUAACCCUGAAAUGGCAUUGAAUACUGUCGGGCUGGAGGUUUGGAGGGGGGACUGGAAUUCUUGGUGUAGCAGUGAAAUGCGUAGAUAUCAAGAGGAACACCAGUGGCGAAGGCGAGUCCCUGGACAACACCUGACACUGAGGCACGAAAGCUAGGGGAGCAAACAGG
rnacentral:rRNA from 1 species